UGGAAGUUAAAAAGUCGUAACAAGGUCUCCGUAGGUGAACCUGCGGAGGGAUCAUUACACAAAUAUGAAGGCGGGCUGGAACCUCUCGGGGUUACAGCCUUGCUGAAUUAUUCACCCUUGUCUUUUGCGUACUUCUUGUUUCCUUGGUGGGUUCGCCCACCACUAGGACAAACAUAAACCUUUUGUAAUUGCAAUCAGCGUCAGUAACAAAUUAAUAAUUACAACUUUCAACAACGGAUCUCUUGGUUCUGGCAUCGAUGAAGAACGCAGCGAAAUGCGAUAAGUAGUGUGAAUUGCAGAAUUCAGUGAAUCAUCGAAUCUUUGAACGCACAUUGCGCCCUUUGGUAUUCCAAAGGGCAUGCCUGUUCGAGCGUCAUUUGUACCCUCAAGCUUUGCUUGGUGUUGGGCGUCUUGUCUCUAGCUUUGCUGGAGACUCGCCUUAAAGUAAUUGGCAGCCGGCCUACUGGUUUCGGAGCGCAGCACAAGUCGCACUCUCUAUCAGCAAAGGUCUAGCAUCCAUUAAGCCUUUUUUUCAACUUUGACCUCGGAUCAGGUAGGUACC
rnacentral:rRNA from 1 species